rnacentral:lncRNA from 1 species
CAUGUCAUUCACAUUGAUCUAAGGUGAGCAGAGUUGUUACUGCGUCCUGCGCAGAGCAGGGCAAAAGCCCCUAUCCAGAAAGGCAGCUUUCCAGCAGCUGAUCUGAAAACACUUGUGAUACUUCAGUCACUUCAUAAGACAGGAGAAUAAGGCUCUGGGGACAUUGGACCUGGACUCUGGUUGAAGACUCUGCCAUAACCGGGAUGCAGCCAACCAUGGGACUGGUAGUGGCAAAGAGAAAAGGGAUGCAGUGUGGAGGCAGCAGCUAACGUAUGUGUAAAUAUAUCCUUUUCGUCUUU